GUUGCCAGUGUUGUUCACGCCCUCCCACCACUCCCACCUCUCUGUUUCUCACUGCAUUUAAGGAAGAUAAAACGUUGAAGUCGAAACGCACCCUGCCCGCUGUGUGUCUCUCUUUCUCUCUCGCACCGACAAUCAAUCCCCCUCCUCCUCCACACACACAGAGACAGAGAUAUACAGAGAGCCACAGCCGCACAGACGCACAGAACUGGCGCCGGGACAACAACACGCCUCACCAUUGCCAGCGCACGUUUCUGCUUCUCUCCCUUACUCUUACUCUCAACCAUUUUUCUUUUCAUUUUCUCCUUCGCUCGACGCGUUGCUUUCCCGGUGCCUUCACUUCUCUUUUACGUGUUUUGUCGAUACAGAACGAAACGGCAACAACAGCACCAAGCCCGCGUCACUGCCUGCGUCGUCGUGGAUCCUCCGCACAGACGCGUACACACCCCUCCCCCUCCCAUCCCCUCCCCUCCCCUCCUCCACGUCAAAGUACGCACCUACAUACAGGCAACGACACACACACACACACACACACACACACACACACACACACACACACAGCGAAAAAAACGAACGAAAAACCAAACAAAGGAAGAAGGCGGUUCGGCUAUACCUGGGACACCGCUUUUUUCCGUUUCUGCCCUUUACUGUGUCGCUGCUCUUGUAGCUGUCGUUCCCGGCUAGGAGUCCAUCGCAUUAUCCGUACAGGAGCUAUCUCAUCUCUUCGUUCUCUCUUUGCCUAAGAAAGAUGCUCCGCACUGGCUUGCAGCUGGCCAAGAAGGGCGCUAGUCCAAACCCCUUCAAUGCCAAGUUCCUGGCGUCUCUGCAGGUCGACGGCGGCAGCGCUAAGUACUACAAGAUCAACGAGAUCAGCGCAAAGUACAACAACCUCCCCUUCUCCAUUCGUGUUCUGCUAGAGUCCGCGGUGCGCAACUGUGAUGAGUUCGAUGUGACCUCGAAGACAGUAGAGAGCAUCUUUGACUGGAAGAACAACUGCACGAAGGGAAUCGAGAUCCCGUUCAAGCCAGCUCGCGUGGUGCUGCAGGACUUCACCGGCGUGCCGUGCGUCGUGGACCUAGCGGCUAUGCGUGAUGCGAUGAAGCGCCUUGGCGGUGACCCGAACCGCAUCAACCCGCAGAUUCCCGUCGACCUCGUAGUGGAUCACUCCGUGCAGGUGGACUGCGCUGGCGUGCAGGACGCGGUGGCGCAAAACCAGAGAAUUGAGAUGCAACGCAACCGCGAGCGCUUCGAGUUCCUCAAGUGGGGCUCGAGGGCGUUCGACAACCUUCUGAUUGUCCCGCCCGGCUCCGGCAUUGUGCACCAGGUGAACCUCGAGUACCUCGCUCACGUCGUGUUUAACGCGGAUGGGAUGCUAUACCCGGACUCCGUUGUCGGAACCGACUCGCACACGACGAUGGUCAAUGGUCUGGGCGUCGUGGGCUGGGGUGUUGGUGGCAUCGAAGCCGAAGCCGGCAUGCUCGGCCAGUCCCUCUCCAUGGUUCUGCCGCAGGUCGUUGGCUAUAAGUUCACUGGCAAGCUGCAGGAGGGGUGCACGGCAACCGAUCUCGUUCUUACUGUCGUGAAGAACCUCCGCAAGCUCGGUGUGGUAGGCAAGUUUGUCGAGUUCUACGGCCCUGGUGUCGACGCGCUCUCAGUCGCUGACCGUGCUACGCUGGCCAACAUGGCUCCAGAGUACGGCGCCACUACUGGCUACUUCCCCAUCGACAACGAGACGAUCGAAUACCUCAAGAACACGAACCGCUCUGCCGAGCACGUGGCCCGCAUUGAGAGCUACGUCAAGGCUGUCGGGCUCUUCCGCACCGGCAACGAGCAGAUCGACUACUCGCAGCACCUGGAGCUUGACCUCUCCACAGUGGUGCCGUGCGUCGCCGGCCCGAAGCGCCCUCAAGACAACGUGCCUCUGACGGAUGUGUCGAAGGACUUCAAGGCUUGCAUGUCGGCCAAGUCUGGCUUCAAGGGCUUCGGCAUCCCGGAAGGGGAGCACAAGAAGAAGGUCAAGUACACCGUCAACGGCCAGGAGGCGACGAUGGAGCACGGCAGCGUCGUGAUCGCGGCUAUCACCUCCUGCACGAACACCUCGAACCCCACCGUGCUCGUCGCGGCGGGUUUGUUGGCACGGAAGGCCCUGGAAAAGGGCUUGAGGGUGCCGCCGGGCAUCAAGACAUCUCUCUCGCCGGGCUCGCACGUGGUGACCAAGUACCUCGAGAACGCCGGCCUGCAGAAGAGCCUCGAGGCCCUCGGCUUCAACACGACAGGCUACGGCUGCAUGACGUGCAUCGGCAACUCAGGCGAUAUCGCGCCGGAGGUGUCCAAGUGCAUCACGGACAACAAUUUUGUUGCCGCAGCGGUGCUCUCCGGCAACCGCAACUUUGAGUCCCGCAUUCACCCGCUAACGGCUGCCAACUACUUGGCAUCGCCGCCGCUCGUCGUUGCCUUCGCGCUCGCCGGACGCGCGAAUAUCGACUUCGCCAAGGAGCCGAUCGCGAACGGCGUGUACCUGCGCGACAUUUGGCCAAGCAACGAGGAAAUUGUGGCGGUGGUGAACAAGUACGUGACGCCGGACCUGUUCAAGGAGGUGUACUCCAACAUCACGACCAUGAACAAGCAAUGGAACGAGCUUCAGGUGGAGAAUGGCGAGUUCUACAAGUGGGACCCGAGGUCGUUAUACAUUCACAGCCCGCCGUACUUUGACGACAUGACCCUCGACCCACCCGGUGCGAAGAGCAUCGAGAACGCCGCCUGCCUUGCCAUCUUCGGCGACUCCAUCACGACGGACCACAUCUCGCCGGCCGGCAACAUAGCCAAGGACUCGCCGGCGGCGAAGUUUCUCAUGGAGCGUGGGGUGGAGCGGAAGGACUUCAACACGUACGGCUCGCGCCGCGGAAACGACGAGGUGAUGGUGCGUGGCACCUUCGCCAACACGCGUCUCGCCAACCGCCUCGUCGGCGAUGGUCAGACGGGCCCGUACACGUUGUACCACCCGACCGGCGAAAAGAUGUUCAUCUUCGACGCGGCCAUGAGUUACAAGGCAGCCGGCGUGCCGACGAUCAUUCUGGCUGGUAAGGAGUACGGCAGCGGCUCGUCGCGCGAUUGGGCUGCCAAGGGGCCGUUCCUGCAGGGUGUGAAGGCCGUCAUCGCGGAGAGCUUCGAGCGCAUUCACCGAUCGAACCUGGUCGGCAUGGGCGUCAUUCCGCUGCAGUUCAAGGACGGCGAAAAUGCCACCUCCCUUGGCCUGACCGGCAAGGAGCACUUCUCGAUGAACUUCUCCGGGGAGCUGCGCCCGCUCCAGGACAUCGUCGUGAAGUGCGACAACGGCAAGACCUUCACGACGACGCUGCGCAUUGAUACUGAGGUGGAGGUGAAGUACGUCGAAAACGGUGGAAUCCUCAACUAUGUGCUGCGCACCAAGAUCCAGUAAGACGACGGAGAAAGAGACCGCGUCUGCGCACCUCUCAACAUACCCCACCUCUGACGUGUUUGUGGUGCGUUUUCAGGUAGACACUACUCGGACGAUGGGCGAAAGCGACGGCGUGUGUGUGUGUGUGUGGAGCGGGAGGGGCCCUGAAGUGGGGGGAGUGGAGGGCGGCCGAUGGCGCUUGUAAAGGAGAAGAGAUAGAGAGCUGUAUCCACGUGCGUGUGCGGGUGUGGGUGUGACGGCGUCGAAGGGAGCGAGAACAACGUGGAGCGCCAGACUCGAAUUUGCGCUGGAUCGACACAGCAGGACAGCGCAGGAAAAGGGCUGAACGAGCCAAAGAUGUUUUCGUUUUUCUUGUUUUUUUUUGCAACGAACAUGAUUGAGUGCGUGUCUAUAGGUGCCCCUGCCUGCCUGUUCUCCCCUUCCACAAGACAGCCGUCCGCCCCCCUCCCCCGCGUGUUGUUGUUUUAACUUGUUGAUUUGCUUAAGUGCCGUUUUCCGAUUUGUUCACCUCGACGAACAACACACGCACGCACGCACACACACAAGAGAGACAUGCAGCAGGAGAACAAUGUGCGGGUGAAUCUUUUGCCCUGUGUGCCUGUGCCAGCCACCACUCCCCUCCCUUCCCUUCCACACACUCUUUUUCUCAAACUUUCGAUAAAGAGAAAAGGACAUCACAGGGGAACCUUGGCGACGUACGCCAUCCCCCCUCCUCGUCUCUGUCGCUGUCUCUGUGUUUGCCCUUGUCUCCUUUCUUCUGUUGUGGCGCAGACGUUCGCUGGUGCUGUCUUUGUUUCUGUAUGUGUGUGUGCAUGAUGGGGCGGCAACAUCUUUGUAUGGGUAUGCCGGGCACAGAAGGAUAUGCCAGCACUCGCACAUGUGCUGGUGCAGAGGGCUCCAUUUUCCUUUGCGCUCUUGUCACUUGGGCAGAUGAGCGAAUCGCGGAGGGGCGCGAGCUGCCAUCUGUGGUUGUCAAACCUUACCAUUGCAGGCUUUCAUGGCUUCCCCCGCUUUUCUUUUCCUGGCCUGACUACGCCGGUGCUCUGCACUUGCUGCGUGAGCAGUAGAUAUGCACUGCCGAGCACGCGUCUCUCUCUCUCUCUCUCCCUGCCGCGUCUGUCUGUGCGCGUGUGUGCCUGUGGCUUGCAUUUUUGUUGCUUCUGUCGACGUGCUUGGCUUCGUUCUUCCUUUUACGUGGCUGCCCUUCAUGCUUUGCUUGUCGCUGAUGCGGGGCUCGCUCUGCCCUCCACCCUCCCUCCCCCCGAGUCCCUUUUCCGCUUUUUUUCUCCCCCCUCCCACAUUGCCGUGCCACUGACUUCAGUGGCUUGCGCACCCCACCACCACCCCGCCCUCCGAAAAACUUACUGAUUUCUCUCUCUUUUUGUGUUAUUAUCUUUCGCUUUUUUUGUUUCGCUCUUUUGCCUGUAUCUGUGGCCCUUGGCACCCCCACCAACCACCCCCAACUCGUCGUGCUUCCCGUGCUGCACUUCGGGCUCAGCUUUGCGCCGCCUUAUUCCCGCUUAUGGCAUUCCCCCCCCCUCUCUCUCUCUCUCGCCCACUCCCUGUCUUCGGCCUGGCUCCCUGCGCGUGCGCGCCACCACUCAAACCACUCUUCCUCACUUCUUCUCGUUUGAAUUCUCUUUGGUGUCUCCCUUCGACUCGUCAGUUCCAGGAGUGCGUGCACGCGUGCGUGUAUGCAUGGGAACGUGAAUGGCUGUGUGGUGGUGUCACGCGGGCCACCCGCCCUACCCAACCUGUGGCCACCUGCUUCGCCUGAUGCAUGGGUCGGUGACACGUGCUUUCUUGUGCAUGAUUUUUCUUUACGCUGACUGUGUAAGUGACAUGUCUCGCUAUUACUUCUUCAUGCAGCUCGAUACGCCGCCGCAGCGCUCACUUGCCUCACCACCCUCACGACCCUCUCCACCACGAGCCCGAUGCCUGAUCCGCCCUUUCACAAGCACUGGAGUCAGUUGAUACAAGCCACUUGCAGUGGCUAUCGCGGAGUCGAAGUUUGUCGUGACCGGCACCCGUGCAUUACGUGAGAAGAGAAACAACGAUGGAGGGCGCGGUGGCCCACCCACAGAGACUUACAAGCAGGCGUGGAAGAGAGAGGAGGUGGGGUGCGAGCACACGCGCAUACGUGCGUACAUGAGGGGGGGGAGGCGGGGGAGGAGUUCAGUUUAUCGUAAGGCGAGAGGCGGAGAAAAGGGAGCAAGGGCAACGACAACAGCCACAGGCACAGCCGAUGUGCCUCUUUGUCGGCACGGCGAGGGGUGACAAGGGAGAGGGAGGGGAGGGGAAGUGUGCUGAGAACACUAUGAGCAGCAGCCCUACGAGAUGAGCGUUUAUGAAUGGAGGGGGAGGAGAGGGGUAAGGAAAGGGAGAGAAAGAGGAGAGAGAGGUCGGAAGGUUGAGGAGUGCGUGAGUGCGGGUGGGCGCCAUACAUACACAUAUAUGUAUGCAUAUAUGUACAUGCAUGUAUGAAUAUCUCUGCUCAUCUCUUUCAUGCGUGAGCUUCGUUUGUAUCGCACUCCCCCGCCUAUCCCCCCUCUCUCCCCCUCUCUCCCUCUCUGAUGGUGGUGGUGCGUGCGUGUGACUUCAACAACGGUGGAGGUGCUUUAUGAUGUCUAUUAAGGAAGAAAAAAAAACAAAUGCACGCCUGGCGCGUGUGCUCGUGACAGUUUCCACUCCCUUCCUCGCUCUCUCUAGCUAUCUAAGUCUGUCUGCCUGUCUGUCUGUGUGUGUGUGUCUGUCCCUCUGACUGGGGUAGUUUGUACGAUCAUCCUAACAGCGCACGCGAACGCUAAAGAUGUGCGUCGUUCUCUCCUCCCCGCCUCUCUGGCACAUCAUAUUCCAGACAAAGGCCCCUCCCCCAUCCCUCCCUACGUGGUAGGGGUUAGGUGACUGAGACAUAGACGACCUUCUUGCUGGUCGGAUUCAGCGUGCCCUCCUCCUCGUUCGCUUGCCGAGGCGGACCGCUGCAGCAGCGGCAAUACCCCACCCUCACA
rnacentral:misc_RNA from 1 species